CGUGACCUGCACAGUAGGCAGAAAUACGUUCCUGCGUGGAUCAUCGACUGUGGAAAUCUUGCAAGUGGAUCGUAAAGAUGCUCAUCAAUUUGGAGUUCUGCCUCCAAUCCAGAAUUGCAGGAAUGCACAACAUGUUGCAGAAGACUCUUUCACUGCCCUCUGUGCCCCACUUUCAGCCCUACUGUCAACGCAAAGAUUGAGGAGCAUAUAAAUGGACACAUUAAAAAUGCUUUGCCUUUCAAAGACAAAAUGAUAUACCGGUGCACUUUCACUGCCCUGUCUGUAACAUGACAGUCAUACAGCGUGGGGAUAUGGCAAGGCAAUUUUUCUCAUGUCAGCAUUCAGGACUGCUCCCCACUGAACUCUCCGAGGAGCCCCAUCUCCCUCUUAAUGUCUUGUCUCCAGUAUCUAAACAUUUUCUGAUUCUUUGGUAGAACAUUCAUGUGCUCUACCCUCUGUGCUAAAUGAAACUGUGGCUUGUGGAAAGUCCUUGAAAAUGAAACGCCCUCA